rnacentral:rRNA from 1 species
CCCUUAGAUGUCCGGGGCUGCACGCGCGCUACACUGAAGGAAUCAGCGUGCUAAAACCAUUGUCGAAAGGCAUUGGUAAACCCAUUAAAAUCCUACGUGAUUGGGAUCGGGAAUUGCAAUUAUUUCCCUUGAACGAGGAAUUCCCAGUAAGUAUGGGUCAUAAGCUCGCGUUGAUUACGUCCCUGCCCUUUGUACACACCGCCCGUCGCUGCCCGGGACUGAGCCGUUUCGAGAAAAGCGGGGACUGCUGCUGUCGGGGCUUUCGGGCCUUGGCUUCGGUGGAAACCGCUUUAAUCGCAGUGGCUUGAACCGGGCAAAAGUCGUAACA